AUGCACGUAGCCUACCCAAUUGCUACUUCCACAUGUACGUACGUAGCUUUUACUUCUAUGUCAUACUACUGUGAAGAUAUACUGCUGGGCACUAUGAAACUUUCAUUUCAUGGUUAUCAGGGUUCUUGAUCUACAUCAGGAGAGUCUGUUAGGACUUACAAAAUAUCAUACAUCUAUGGCUCCGACCCACUCACACACACACUACUUCUAUGCGUAUGUACGUUGGUCUGGGUCAAUCUGGUAUUAGAGCCAUCUUUUGUGUCGAGGAGGGGAUCUAUUGAUUUUUAGCCAUAUAGAGCAGACCGGACAGGUAGUGCGGUAAAUCUCGUGUUGGCC
rnacentral:lncRNA from 1 species